rnacentral:rRNA from 1 species
GACAGAGGGUGCAAACGUUGUUCGGAAUUACUGGGCGUAAAGCGUGUGUAGGCGGCCAUAUAAGUCGGAUGUGAAAGCCCCGGGCUCAACCCGGGAAGUGCACUCGAUACUGCGAAGCUUGAGUACUGGAGAGGUUGGUGGAAUUCUCGGUGUAGAGGUGAAAUUCGUAGAUAUCGAGAGGAACACCGGUGGCGAAGGCGGCCAACUGGACAGAUACUGACGCUGAGACACGAAAGCGUGGGGAGCAAACAGG